rnacentral:tRNA from 1 species
GGUCCCAUCGUCUAGCGGUCUAGGACAUCACCCUUUCAAGGUGAGGACACGGGUUCGAGUCCCGUUGGGAUCAUCA